rnacentral:misc_RNA from 1 species
UCGUUUCUACCCCCUGUCACUUUUGGAAACGGGCAGCGACCUUCUGCUGUUCUGGGUGGGCCGCAUGGUCAUGUUGGGGACCCAGCUCACAGGGCAGCUGCCCUUCAGCAAGGUGCUUCUUCAUCCCAUGGUUCGGGACAGGCAGGGCCGGAAGAUGAGCAAGUCCCUGGGGAAUGUGCUGGACCCAAGAGACAUCAUCAGUGGGGUGGAGAUGCAGGUGCUGCAGGAAAAGCUGAGAAGCGGAAAUUUGGACCCUGCAGAGCUGGCCAUUGUGGCUGCAGCACAGAAAAAGGACUUUCCUCACGGGAUCCCUGAGUGUGGGACAGAUGCCCUGAGAUUCACACUCUGCUCCCAUGGAGUUCAGGCGGGCGACUUGCACCUGUCAGUCUCUGAGGUCCAGAGCUGCCGACAUUUCUGCAACAAGAUCUGGAAUGCUCUUCGCUUUAUCCUCAAUGCUUUAGGGGAGAAAUUUGUGCCACAGCCUGCUGAGGAGCUGUCUCCCUCCUCCCCGAUGGAUGCCUGGAUCCUGAGCCGCCUUGCCCUGGCUGCCCAGGAGUGUGAGCGGGGCUUCCUCACCCGAGAGCUCUCGCUCGUCACUCAUGCCCUGCACCACUUCUGGCUUCACAACCUCUGUGACGUCUACCUGGAGGCUGUGAAGCCCGUGCUGUGGCACUCGCCCCGCCCCCUGGGGCCCCCUCAGGUCCUGUUCUCCUGCGCUGACCUCGGCCUCCGCCUCCUGGCCCCACUGAUGCCCUUCCUGGCUGAAGAGCUCUGGCAGAGGCUGCCCCCCAGGCCUGGUUGCCCCCCUGCCCCCAGCAUCUCGGUUGCCCCCUACCCCAGCGCCUGCAGCUUGGUGAUGCUGCUGCAGAGCUCAGAGCCUGGGGACCAGGGCCUCUUCGAGGCCUUCUUGGAGCCCCUGGGCACCCUGGGCUACUGUGGGGCUGUGGGCCUGUUACCCCCAGGCGCAGCAGCUCCCUCCGGCUGGGCC